CAAGCAUUUGGCCAGGGGAGCAUCAAUCCUGUUUGCUCUGCCAUAGAAAUAUCUACAUGUCGAUUUCAACUGCCAGACAGCAUCAUCUAUUAAAAGAGUUUUCAUUUUUAAUCUGCUAGUUUUAAAGGUCCAAAAGUGUUUGUUCCGAAGGGGCUGUUUUAUGUUUAAAUUACAGCUACGUAUAAUUUUGUGGAGCUCAAAUAAAGAUUCAGAUUUUUUCAAUUUCCUAUAGGGAGCUA